GGCUGGUUAGCUCAGCAGAUCAGCAUAUGGUGCUAAUAACACCAAGGUCAUGGGUUCAAUACCCAUGCUGGCCA
rnacentral:tRNA from 1 species